rnacentral:rRNA from 1 species
UGGGGAAUUUUGGACAAUGGGGGAAACCCUGAUCCAGCCAUCCCGCGUGUGCGAUGAAGGCCUUCGGGUUGUAAAGCACUUUUGGCAGGAAAGAAACGUCAUGGGUUAAUACCCCGUGAAACUGACGGUACCUGCAGAAUAAGCACCGGCUAACUACGUGCCAGCAGCCGCGGUAAUACGUAGGGUGCAAGCGUUAAUCGGAAUUACUGGGCGUAAAGCGUGCGCAGGCGGUUCGGAAAGAAAGAUGUGAAAUCCCAGAGCUCAACUUUGGAACUGCAUUUUUAACUACCGGGCUAGAGUGUGUCAGAGGGAGGUGGAAUUCCGCGUGUAGCAGUGAAAUGCGUAGAUAUGCGGAGGAACACCGAUGGCGAAGGCAGCUUCCUGGGAUAACACUGACGCUCAUGCACGAAAGCGUGGGGAGCAAACAGG